rnacentral:rRNA from 1 species
UCUUGAUAUUUAAAAAUAUAAUAAAUUUGGAAGGUUUAAAUUUACAUCUGCGUCAUAUUUAGUUGGGGUGACACGAAGUACUAAACACUUCUUUAGAAACAAAAAUUUAAGGUUAUAUGACCCGAUUUUUUCGACUCAAAAACUAAGU